GACGAACGCUGGCGGCGUGCCUAAUACAUGCAAGUCGAACGCAGUGGGGACGGGUGCGUAACACGUGGGUAACCUCCCAUCAGAGGGGAUAACACUUGGAAACAGGUGCUAAACCGAUACUGAUGGAUGAACACGCGGUGCAUUGGCUAGGUGGUGAGGUAACGGCUCACCAAGGCCACGAUGCAUAGCUGCCCUGAGAGGUGGAUCGGCCACACUGGAAAUGAGACACGGCCCAGACUCCUACGGGAGGCAGCAGUAGGGAAUCUUCGGCAAUGGACGAAAGUCUGACCUAGCAACGCAGCGUGAGUGAAGAAGGUUUUCGGAUCGUAAAACUCUGUUGUAGGAGAGGCGGUAUCUAAACAGAAAGCCACGGCUAACUACGUGCCAGCAGCCGCGGUAAUAC
rnacentral:rRNA from 1 species